AUUGAACGCUGGCGGCAGGCCUAAUACAUGCAAGUCGAACGAGUGGCGGACGGGUGAGUAAUGUCUGGGAAACUGCCUGAUGGAGGGGGAUAACUACUGGAAACGGUAGCUAAUACCGCAUACCAUCGGAUGUGCCCAGAUGGGUUUAGCUAGUAGGUGGGGUAACGGCUCACCUAGGCGACGAUCCCUAGCUGGUCUGAGAGGCUGACCGGCCACACUGGAACUGAGACACGGUCCAGACUCCUACGGGAGGCAGCAGUGGGGAAUAUUGCACAAUGGGCGCAAGCCUGAUGCAGCCAUGCCGCGUGUAUGAAGAAGGCCUUCGGGUUGUAAAGUACUGUCAGCGGGGAGGCGUUACUCGCAGAGGAAGCACCGGCUAACUCCGUGCCAGCCGCCGCGGUAAUUC
rnacentral:rRNA from 1 species